rnacentral:rRNA from 1 species
AUAAUGGGAUUAGUUUUUUAGCUAUUUAUAGCUAAUUAACACAAUCCCGGGGCGUUCUAUAUAGUUAUGUAUAAUGUAUAUUUAUAUUAUUUAUGCCUCUAACUGGAACGUACCUUGAGCAUAUAUGCUGUGACCCGAAAGAUGGUGAACUAUACUUGAUCAGGUUGAAGUCAGGGGAAACCCUGAUGGAAGACCGAAACAGUUCUGACGUGCAAAUCGAUUGUCAGAAUUGAGUAUAGGGGCGAAAGACCAAUCGAACCAUCUAGUAGCUGGUUCCUUCCGAAGUUUCCCUCAGGAUAGCUGGUGCAUUUUAAUAUUAUAUAAAAUAAUCUUAUCUGGUAAAGCGAAUGAUUAGAGGCCUUAGGGUCGAAACGAUCUUAACCUAUUCUCAAACUUUAAAUGGGUAAGAACCUUAACUUUCUUGAUAUGAAGUUCAAGGUUAUGAUAUAAUGUGCCCAGUGGGCCACUUUUGGUAAGCAGAACUGGCGCUGUGGGAUGAACCAAACGUAAUGUUACGGUGCCCAAAUUAACAACUCAUGCAGAUACCAUGAAAGGCGUUGGUUGCUUAAAACAGCAGACGUGAUCAUGGAAGUCGAAAUCCGCUAAGGAGUGUGUAACAACUCACCUGCCGAAGCAACUAGCCCUUAAAAUGGAUGGCGCUUAAGUUGUAUACCUAUACAUUACCGCUAAAGUAGAUGAUUUAUAUUACUUGUGAUAUAAAUUUUGAAACUUUAGUGAGUAGGAAGGUACAAUGGUAUGCGUAGAAGUGUUUGGCGUAAGCCUGCAUGGAGCUGCCAUUGGUACAGAUCUUGGUGGUAGUAGCAAAUAAUCGAAUGAGACCUUGGAGGACUGAAGUGGAGAAGGGUUUCGUGUGAACAGUGGUUGAUCACGAGUUAGUCGGUCCUAAGUUCAAGGCGAAAGCCGAAAAUUUUCAAGUAAAACAAAAAUGCCUAACUAUAUAAACAAAGCGAAUUAUAAUACACUUGAAUAAUUUUGAACGAAAGGGAAUACGGUUCCAAUUCCGUAACCUGUUGAGUAUCCGUUUGUUAUUAAAUAUGGGCCUCGUGCUCAUCCUGGCAACAGGAACGACCAUAAAGAAGCCGUCGAGAGAUAUCGGAAGAGUUUUCUUUUCUGUUUUAUAGCCGUACUACCAUGGAAGUCUUUCGCAGAGAGAUAUGGUAGAUGGGCUAGAAGAGCAUGACAUAUACUGUUGUGUCGAUAUUUUCUCCUCGGACCUUGAAAAUUUAUGGUGGGGACACGCAAACUUCUCAACAGGCCGUACCAAUAUCCGCAGCUGGUCUCCAAGGUGAAGAGUCUCUAGUCGAUAGAAUAAUGUAGGUAAGGAAGUCGGCAAAUUAGAUCCGUAAUUCGGGAUAAGGAUUGGCCUCUGAAGAUUGAGAUAGUCGGGCUUGAUUGGGAAACAAUAACAUGGUUUAUGUGCUCGUUCUGGGUAAAUAGAGUUUCUAGCAUUUAUGUUAGUUACUUGUUCCCCGGAUAGUUUAGUUACGUAGCCAAUUGUGGAACUUUCUUGCUAAAAUUUUUAAGAAUACUAUUUGGGUUAAACCAAUUAGUUCUUAUUAAUUAUAACGAUUAUCAAUUAACAAUCAAUUCAGAACUGGCACGGACUUGGGGAAUCCGACUGUCUAAUUAAAACAAAGCAUUGUGAUGGCCCUAGCGGGUGUUGACACAAUGUGAUUUCUGCCCAGUGCUCUGAAUGUCAAAGUGAAGAAAUUCAAGUAAGCGCGCGGUCAACGGCGGGAGUAACUAUGACUCUCUUAAGGUAGCCAAAUGCCUCGUCAUCUAAUUAGUGACGCGCAUAUGUAACAGCAUGAAUUACGAGUUAAUCAGAUCCUACUGUCCCUAUCUACUAUCUUAGCGAAACCACAGCCAAGGGAACGGGCUUGGAAUAAUUAGCGGGGAAAGAAGACCCUUUUGAGCUUGACUCUAAUCUGGCAGUGUAAGGAGACAUAAGAGGUGUAGAAUAAGUGGGAGAUAUUAGACCUCGGUUUGGUAUCGUCAAUGAAAUACCACUACUCUUAUUGUUUCCUUACUUACUUGAUUAAAUGGAACGUGUAUCAUUUCCUAGCCAUUAUACGGAUAUAUUUAUUAUAUCUUAUGGUAUUGGGUUUUGAUGCAAGCUUCUUGAUCAAAGUAUCACGAGUUUGUUAUAUAAUCGCAAACAAAUUCUUUAAUAAAACGAUGCAUUUAUGUAUUUUUGAUUUGAAAAUUUGGUAUAACUCCAAUUACUCAGGUAUGAUCCAAUUCAAGGACAUUGCCAGGUAGGGAGUUUGACUGGGGCGGUACAUCUCUCAAAUAAUAACGGAGGUGUCCCAAGGCCAGCUCAGUGCGGACAGAAACCACACAUAGAGCAAAAGGGCAAAUGCUGACUUGAUCUCGGUGUUCAGUACACACAGGGACAGCAAAAGCUCGGCCUAUCGAUCCUUUUGGUUUAAAGAGUUUUUAACAAGAGGUGUCAGAAAAGUUACCAUAGGGAUAACUGGCUUGUGGCGGCCAAGCGUUCAUAGCGACGUCGCUUUUUGAUCCUUCGAUGUCGGCUCUUCCUAUCAUUGUGAAGCAAAAUUCACCAAGCGUUGGAUUGUUCACCCAUGCAAGGGAACGUGAGCUGGGUUUAGACCGUCGUGAGACAGGUUAGUUUUACCCUACUAAUGACAAAACGUUGUUGCGACAGCAUUCCUGCGUAGUACGAGAGGAACCGCAGGUACGGACCAAUGGCACAAUACUUGUUCGAGCGAACAGUGGUAUGACGCUACGUCCGUUGGAUUAUGCCUGAACGCCUCUAAGGUCGUAUCCGUGCUGGACUGCAAUGAUAAAUAAGGGGCAAUUUGCAUUGU